UUUUUGUUGAGGAAGGUUAAGGGCUAGCUUGUCUGAAUUUGCAAGAAGACCAGUGCUACUUUCCAUGACCUGCUGUUACUGAUACAGAGAGAAUUGACUUCCAGAUGCGUGGCAGUGGGACUUUACCAGGUGACUGUUUGCAUAAGUCAGGCUUCCCUAAUCUUGGAGCUAGCUGUGCAUACCUUAUCCUGGAGCUUUCAGUUUCCUGAAAAAAUCAGAAAAUCCACUUGCUUAUCAGCUCUACGCAGCGUUUUGAAAGUGAUUGCACUGAGACCUCCUCCACACCGCACUGUGAGGAGGUAUUUGACAUCAUCUGCGUGGAAUAUGGUUGCCGAGGUUUGGCUCCGAGCUCCACCUUUCCUGGGUGUCCAUCACUGCCCAAGCACUGGGCAAACUGGAGCUGACAACCUGCCUUGCAGCUUCCAAUAAAAAUAAAUCUUUUUGUAUUAUUUUAAAACUGACUUCA
rnacentral:lncRNA from 1 species